GACGAACGCUGGCGGCGUGCUUAAUACAUGCAAGUCGAGCGGACUCCAACCACUCGCAAGAGUGGGGAAGAGUUAGCGGCGAACGGGUGAGUAACACGUGAGGAACCUGCCCUGGAGACCGGGAUAACUCCCGAAAGGGGUGCUAAUACCGGAUGUCCUCAUCGGAUCGCAUGGUCUGAUGAGGAAAUGGAUUCCGCUCCAGGAGGGCCUCGCGGCCUAUCAGCUUGUUGGGAGGUAACGCUCACCAAGGCGUCGACGGGUAGCUGGUCUGAGAGGACGAUCAGCCACACUGGGACUGAGACACGGCCCAGACUCCUACGGGAGCAGCAGUAGGGAAUCUUGCGCAAUGGGCGAAAGCCUGACGCAGCAACGCCGCGUGGGGGA
rnacentral:rRNA from 1 species